UACGUAGGUGCCAAGCGUUGUUCGGAAUUACUGGGCGUAAAGGGCGCGUAGGCGGCCCGGCAAGUCAGGUGUGAAAGCCCGGGGCUCAACCCCGGAAUGUCUUUUGAAACUGCCGAGCUAGAGUGCGGAAGAGGCAACUGGAAUUCCCAGUGUAGCGGUGAAAUUCGUAGAUAUUAGGAAGAACACCGGUGGCGAAGGCGGCCCACUGGAUCGGUACUGACGCUGAGGUGCGAAAGCGUGGGGAGCAAACAGG
rnacentral:rRNA from 1 species